ACACACUUUAAGACCCCCAGUACUGAUCAGUGACUGUCCAGUCCUUUCUCAGACACUGACACAGGCAGCAUUAUGAUGAUGUCAGUCUUUCUCCUGCUGGUGAUGUUGGGACUGUUUGUACAUGAAUCAAUGGCAGAUAUAGUAGUGACUCAGUCUCCAUCAGCUCAGGCUGUUCAGCAGGGAGACACUGUCUCUAUCAGCUGUAGAGUCAGUCAGAGUGUUGAUGAUGACGACGGUGAUUCUGCUCUCAGCUGGUACCUGCAGAAACCUGGUCAGGCUCCGAAACUUCUGAUUUAUGAUGCCACAACACGCGAGUCUGGGAUUCCUGAUCGUUUCAGUGGGAGUGGAUCUGGGACUCAGUUUACACUGAAAAUCACUGGAGUCCAGACUGAAGAUGCAGGAGAGUAUUACUGUCAGAGUUACCACUACAUCAACAGUAAAAAUGUGUUCACACAGUGAUACAGAGCCGUACAAAAACCUCCCUCAGUCAGACUGCAUAGAGACUGCACUGCUGCAGCUGGGACCUACUGCAGGUGCUGAGGGGGGAGGCACUGACCCGAGACACUGAGGGCCUCUGCUCUAAAACACUGAACUACAUUGUGCAAUAAUAACUCACAUAUUCUCAAAUUUAAUGCACUUUAUCUCAAUGUAAAUGACAAUCUUCUUCUAAGGGUCAAUUUUUUUAGUAUGUUUAAAACGUCUCAUUUAAAAAACAAAAAACACUUGAGACAUGAUGAGAAAUUUGGCUCAUUUUCUCUAAAACAGAGUACAUAUUUUGAUGAUCAUUUUUGUGCAUACUCUAUUAGAGAUUUCAACAGGGUUAAAUCAUAAUUUGAUACAAAACAGGUUUUUUUAUGUUGGUCAUGGUUACCUUAAAUUUGACGAGGGGAUCCUGUACGUUUCCUGGAUAAUAUAUUCAUAAAACAUUUUUUAAACUAUUUUGUCAUUUCGCACACGCUUUUAAUCCAAAGCAAUUUACAAGUGCAUAGGUUCUUCCACAGGUUAAAAGCAUCAAAUCCAGAACUCGUAAAAGACGCAUGAAGGGCUGUUCUCAACAAAAAGAUAACAGUCAUCAGACCGCAGGGAGGGAGGAAUGUUCUCCACACUCUGACAGAGACCCCAGGGAGGGAGGAAUGUUCUCCACACUCUGACACUGUUCCUCUUACUCUUUCCCAAACUCCAUAUUCACAUACAUGUUCUCCAGAAACUUAAUUUUCUUCCUGGCCUGUGUAAAAGCAUUGACACGUCAAAGGGUAUUUAUGUCUGUCCUUUUCUUAGAGGUAGGUGUGAGUAAAAUUCAUUGUUUUUAAGCUGUCAUCAUGAUUUGAGGCAUUUUUAUGGUUAUUACAAAUAUAUUUCAGGACAAUUUUUGACAAAUGCGCCCUACCUCAUUAAAUCAGUGUUGUUUGGGUUGUGCUUCCAGAACACUCAAUCCAUACAUCACAUAAGCUGCAAUUACACACACCAACCACAGGAGGAGCCAGAGUGCUACUGUUGCUCCAACUGUAAAAGUACUACAGCAGGGGUUCUCAACCCAACACCCCUACUUGAGGCUAUCUACUUGAACAGCAUCCAAUGCAACAUUAUUUAGCAAUGAGACAAAAUUAAUCAACUGAACAAACUAGCAACUACAAAAUUAACAAAUACAGCACAUCCAAAGGAAGUUAACAGCAAACCUACUGUGAAAACGUAGUCUAAAUGUAAAAGAAAAAAAAAAGAAAAAAAAGAAAGAAGCUAAUUGAACUAUUGGCUACAUUACCUUUAAUGUUAUGAGAUAUGUAUGUGUCAUGUUCAGAAGUGGUGGCUGCUACACCUCUAACUCUCUUCCAUCUUAAUACAGUUCUGUGGUGCUGUUCUACGAGGGUCUUGUCCCAGUACAAAACAGAACAUCCUACAGGCUAAAAACCAUGAACAUUGUCUUGUGCUAUCAUCAGUAGCAGUACUGAUAAAUGAAAUCACAUUUAAUGUAAUGUGAUGUAAAAACACCCCCUAUAAUCGUCCAAACGCCGACCUCUCACCCAUGGUGCUUCCAGCGCCCCAUUGCAAUGUCAGAACGGCCCCUGGGGGGUGGUACCACCCUCAUUGAGAAACCGUGCACUACAGUAUAAUAUGAGAGAGGAAACCACGG